UCACUCAGUCAUUCAUUUACAGCGGUUUGAGCGUGAGCAUAAAAAAUAGAACGCUCACCACUUCGUUCAUUUGCUCUCCGUUGUCUCAGGAGAGAAUGGUUGCCAAAUUGAAAGAACAACAUCGGCUUGGUUCGUUGUUCGAUCGUAAUUAAUUAUUAAAUAAAAUAGCUCAGCUUGAUUCCGAACGAGGAUAGUCUGUCCGUGACCUCCUACGGGAAUCGUAGUGCGCGCCGGAAAAAUUAAACUUAAAUUGAAGUGGUAACCAGUUAAACCAAGUUAAACUGAAGAAGAUUUCUAAGUGCUAAUCUCGAAGUUAGUGUGUGGUCUAGACAAAGUAGUACGGAAAACAAUAGUACGGGAAUAAUUGUGAUAGUACGCUUAAAGAUCUAAACCACCACACGUGGCAAAUCGUAAUCAACCAAAUUGUAAAAUCAUCAUUAUCUACAAGAAAAAGGUCCGUUUAGUGGCCUUUUUCUUCUUUUUUGUGUUGCUUGGCAGGACGGUAAUCGCUGGAAGUGGGUUCGGUGGCUUUCCGACGCGCACGGGCAUCCCUCACGCCUAAACGAGGUCUGUGGACCGACAGUGGGCAUUCCAUCGCCCGAGCAAACGACCAUCUCGUCAACCCGGUAGCCAACAGCCGGCCGACGAAGCAGCCAUCGCUAUUAGCCACACGUGAACCACCUUGUCGCCCCGGUAGCCAGAAACCGGCCGACGAAUCCGUCAUCGCUAUUAGCCAGCUGUGUGCCCGUUUCAAUCAACCAUCGUGUCGCCCGGUAGCCAAAAGCCGGUCGGCAAUUCCGUCGUCGCAUCAGUCACACGUCCGCCCAGCCAAGCAACCCU